rnacentral:tRNA from 1 species
GGAUCUGUAGCUCAGGGGUAGAGCGUUCCGUUCACAUCGGAAAGGCCAUAGGUUCGAGACCUAUCAGAUCCA